rnacentral:rRNA from 1 species
UACAGAGGGUGCGAGCGUUGUCCGGAAUCACUGGGCGUAAAGGGCGCGUAGGUGGCGACCCAAGUCUGUGGUGAAAGCUCGAUGCUCAACAUCGAGUCGGCCACGGAGACUGGGUGGCUCGAGCACUGUAGGGGCAGAUGGAAUUCCGGGUGUAGCGGUGGAAUGCGUAGAGAUCCGGAAGAACACCGGUGGCGAAGGCGGUCUGCUGGGCAGUAGCUGACACUGAGGCGCGACAGCGUGGGGAGCAAACAGG